CUAUCUAUCUCUAUCUCUCUCUGAAUCUGACCAUAUUCUUCCCUGUUCACCAGGUCCGUCUGCUCCGGCGGCAAGGUGCUCCUCGUCUGCAACUUCAGUAUAUCCGAGGAGGAUGUGGAUUUGGUCCAGUUUGCAAUAUGUUCGUCUAGUUCUGAACUUUUGAUUGUGGUUGUAACCGUGGUCUUUAUUGUUGAUGAAUUGGUCAUACUGUGAUGGGCCCUUCUUUUGCUCUCCAUGCAAGCUACAGGGUUUGGUUUUGAUAACUUAAGCAAUCUGGUCAUGUGCUUGCUAAUGAGCUUGUUAGGCUGCCUGCUCUUUCUUGUUGUUGCCUAAUAAGUGAAGAGGAGCACAAAUGUUCCAACUUGUACUAGUCUUCUUCCUGGGUGAAAAAGGAAAAGACACUGAUGGCUUGUUCAACUCUGUUUGACUGGAAUAGGUGCAUAAAAGUUGCAUUCUCAAACCAAUUAGUACUAACUGUUGGAAAAAAUAAUCUUUAUCACCUCUCAAGCUGAAUUUUUUCAUAUAGAUGUGUGUUUGUGGAACUUCAUAUGCCUGUCCAUGUAAGUGUAGUGCAUUCAUUUGUGCAGUGUUUGAGUGCACAACCAUGUCAGAUACCAGCACCUGAUCUGACAUGUUUCAUUUGCUCGACUUUGAAUGUUUUUAGUAAAAACGAGUUCUCAAUCUUACAUGGUUAUGGUGCUUUGCUUACUUUGGUUUGAUGCUAGAUUUGGCAUUAUGUUUUGGGCUGCUGGUUAGUCUGACAGCUGGCCAACAUUUUGGUUGUUGUUUAGCUAAUAAUCAUUAUAUGGUCUUGUUUUCUCAUACCAAGUAGUACUAACUCUUCUUGAACAAAAAUCUUUGUCACCUCUGAAGGUGAUAUUUUUUUAUAUGAUGUGCGCUUGUGGAACUUCAGGUGCUUAUCCAUGUUAGUCCAGUGCAUUAAUAAGUGUACUGUUUUGAGUCCAUGACCAUCUCAUCUAGCGGUACUGGAUAAACUUUGAAUGUUCUUGGUAAAAAUGAAUCCGCGGUCUUACAGGAAUACGUUGAUUUGCUUAUUUCGGUUGGAUGCUAGACUUGGUGUUGUGUUUUGGACUGCUGGUUGGUUUGACUGUUGGCCAGCGUUUUCGUCGGUGUUCAUAAAUUUUAUCAUUGUUCAUAAAUUAAAUAUCUCACAGAUGCUGAAAUUGUCAUUUUGUUUGUCUACAGGACAUUGCAUCAUGGGUGUGUGGCUACAUGGAUCUGUCCUUCGGCCAUCUGGUAGCCCUGUUUGUCAUCACCCCACGACGCUGUUGGUGCCUUCUCAAGUUGCUUGACUGCUGCAUGAACCAAAUUGAGCAGUACAAUGGCGAUUUUGCUGAAGUUCGUCACAGUAUGAUUCAGGUAUACCUGCCAUGUCUUCUGGGUAGACGCUUCUACAUAUACUAGAGUGUCAUUGCAGUCUAGAUUACAUCAACGCGAAAGGUCUAAGUGCCCUUUGUUUGAGACCAGUACAUGAUUUUUUUCCAUGGCUUCUUUCUCAUGUAUAGAUUGUCUACCAAUUAUUAUGGUGAUGGGCAUAGGUAUUGACUUUUGUGGGUAAUAUAAGUAGUGUAGUUGUCACUGGUUGUUUUAGUUGCUAUGGAUUUGUUGUGGUUUAUGAUCAUGCUCCUGAAGUUGCACACUAUACUUGGGCACCAUGCCUGUGUUUUGAUAUGAAUACCUUAAGCUCUGUACCGGUCCUUGCUUGCUCUUGUAGUUGGUGAAAUCGACUCUGUUAGAAAUCCUGCUAUUGAUGUGGCAAAUAAUAAUCGAUGUCUCUUGGUACAAGAAGACAGGGAGUCUCGUGGUACCGGCAUGGUGGUAGUCUGAGUCGAGCACUGACCACUUUGCUCUGCCUAUUGUCUCAGCCUCUUAGGGUUCGCCAUUCUACAUUGAAGGGAAAAGGGCGCCACUCUACCUUGAAGUUGAUAGAGACGGGCUCAAGGACAAUCGGUCGUAUGGUGGUCAUUGCAUUGUGGUGCUGACGAUGACGGCCAAGCUCUUAUCAUUGCCCAAAGGAUGAAUUUUGUGGGACCUCACCAUCUGUUUCCUUGGUUCAGGUGAGACCUUGGUCUUCUCUCCUUCUCUGAGAUGGUACCGGUCGUCGAGCCGAUGACUUAGUUCGCGUGUGCUCAAUGAACCAUCUAAGAUUGAAUCAUGUUAUGCAUUCAACGACAUCUAGAACCAUUCUUGUUAUUUUGGUAUUCAUGCAACAACUGUUAUUUCUUGUUUAUAGCGGUGUAUCGUGAUGAAGUAACUCUUGUCCUUGUCUAUCAGCUUGAAGUGUCCUCAGUCAGGAGAAGGCUCCAAUAACUUUAUGGUUGGUGGAUCUACACCCGCCCAAGCAAGCCCAGUGACACGCACUGCGGCUCAAGAUGCUUCGACCUGCACGCCACAAUGAUCACUCGAGGUAGUUGUCUAUGCUUGUGCAUUAUUCAUGCUUGUGUCUUGUCGUUGGUUGUGUCUCUCAGUUCCCAACUUGUGCAUUGCUGAUAGUAGAGCCCAAAGUGUUGAUCCUUAUAUUAUUCAUACUUCUUAGCUUCAAUUUGAAACUUAUAUGUUGAUGCUUGUUGACUCUUGUGCCUUAUCGAUCAUUUGCAAUUUAGCUUUGGAAACUCAUGCGUGUGGUAAUGAACUUACAGGUUUGCAUCACGAAUGCCGUCGACGGUGGGCAUACAUGCUGCGGUGGACACUCAUUGCAUAUUGUAGGUUGAACUCAUGCUUUCGUUUCUGAACUCUUGUUGCAUAUGUAAUGUUGUUGUGAACCCUCCUUGAAUAUGUAUGCAUGCUUUUGUGAAACUAUAUUGGAUAUGUAUGAGUGUGUGGACUUUGAACUCAUCAUCGGUUUGUUCUUGUUGUGAACUUGUAAUAUAUUGGAUAUGUAUGCAUGCCGUUUCGGUUGUGAAAUCUUGUUGCAUAUGUACGCAUGCUUUUGUGAAACUAUAUUGUUGUUGUGAUCUAUUGGAUUUGUAAUAUACUGUUGUUGUGAUAUAUGGAUAUAUAUUACAUAUAUAUAGUUAUGUUGUU
rnacentral:lncRNA from 1 species